GAUGAACGCUGGCGGCGUGCCUAAUACAUGCAAGUCGAGCGAACAGACGAGGAGCUUGCUCCUCUGACGUUAGCGGCGGACGGGUGAGUAACACGUGGAUAACCUACCUAUAAGACUGGGAUAACUUCGGGAAACCGGAGCUAAUACCGGAUAAUAUAUUGAACCGCAUGGUUCAAUAGUGAAAGACGGUUUUGCUGUCACUUAUAGAUGGAUCCGCGCCGCAUUAGAUAGUUGGUAAGGUAACGGCUUACCAAGGCGACGAUGCGUAGCCGACCUGAGAGGGUGAUCGGCCACACUGGAACUGAGACACGGUCCAGACUCCUACGGGAGGCAGCAGUAGGGAAUCUUCCGCAAUGGGCGAAAGCCUGACGGAGCAACGCCGCGUGAGUGAUGAAGGUCUUCGGAUCGUAAAACUCUGUUAUUAGGGAAGAACAAAUGUGUAAGUAAUUAUGCACGUCUUGACGGUACCUAAUCAGAAAGCCACGGCUAACUACGUG
rnacentral:rRNA from 1 species